rnacentral:lncRNA from 1 species
GGCCCUAGUAUCGAACCCUGUGGUACGCCUUUAUGGAUGUCAGUCCAACUACUCAGAACAUUGUUGACUUUAGUUUGCUGUUUUCGAUUAGAUAAAUAGGACUUUAAAAGAGCUACUGCAUUGGGGGUUAAACCAUAUGCUGAUAAUUUAUCUAGCAUAAUAUUGUGAGGCAGGCAGUCAAAAGCCUUAGAAAGAUCCAUUAACACUGCUGCAAUGUACUGGUUUUUAUCAAGAGCUUCACGCCAGUCUUCUAACACUCUGAGAAGUGUGGUCUGACAUCCAUGUCCACGUCUAAAUGCACACAAAAAAGGAUUAAAUAUUUUAUCAAAUUAAUCAGUUAAUUGAAUUUCAUAUAUUUUUUCAAAGAUUUUAGAAAAUAUGGGUAAGACACUAACUGGUCUAUAAUUUGUUUUUAAUAAUGGGUCACUCUUUUUAUGAAGGGGGUCACUUGCGCUUCUUUAAGUUUAUCGGGG